rnacentral:rRNA from 1 species
AACGAACGCUGGCGGCAUGCCUAACACAUGCAAGUCGAACGAGAUCUUCGGGUCUAGUGGCUCACGGGUGCGUAACGCUUGGGAAUCUGCCCUUUGGUUCGGAAUAACAGUUGGAAACGACUGCUAAUACCGGAUGAUGACGAAAGUCCAAAGAUUUAUCGCCAGAGGAUGAGCCCGCGUAGGAUUAGCUAGUGGGUGUGGUAAAGGCGCACCAAGGCGACGAUCCUUAGCUGGUCUGAGAGGAUGAUCAGCAACACUGGGACUGAGACACGGCCCAGACUCCUACGGGAGGCAGCAGUGGGGAAUAUUGGACAAUGGGCGAAAGCCUGAUCCAGCAAUGCCGCGUGAGUGAUGAAGGCCUUAGGGUUGUAAAGCUCUUUUACCCGGGAUGAUAAUGACAGUACCGGGAGAAUAAGCUCCGGCUAACUCCGUGCCAGCCGCCGCCGUAA